AGUCGAGGGGCAGCAUUUCAGUUUGCUUGCAAACUGGAGAUGGCGACCGGCGCACGGGUGAGUAACACGUAUCCAACCUGCCGAUAACUCGGGGAUAGCCUUUCGAAAGAAAGAUUAAUACCCGAUGGUAUAAUGAAACCGCAUGGUCUUGUUAUUAAAGAAUUUCGGUUAUCGAUGGGGAUGCGUUCCAUUAGGCAGUUGGUGAGGUAACGGCUCACCAAACCUUCGAUGGAUAGGGGUUCUGAGAGGAAGGUCCCCCACAUUGGAACUGAGACACGGUCCAAACUCCUACGGGAGGCAGCAGUGAGGAAUAUUGGUCAAUGGGCGCAGGCCUGAACCAGCCAAGUAGCGUGAAGGAUGACUGCCCUAUGGGUUGUAAACUUCUUUUAUAUGGGAAUAAAGUUUUCCACGUGUGGAAUUUUGUAUGUACCAUAUGAAUAAGGAUCGGCUAACUCCGUGCCAGCAGCCGCGGUAAUACGGAGGAUCCGAGCGUUAUCCGGAUUUAUUGGGUUUAAAGGGAGCGUAGGUGGACAGUUAAGUCAGUUGUGAAAGUUUGCGGCUCAACCGUAAAAUUGCAGUUGAUACUGGCUGUCUUGAGUACAGUAGAGGUGGGCGGAAUUCGUGGUGUAGCGGUGAAAUGCUUAGAUAUCACGAAGAACUCCGAUUGCGAAGGCAGCUCACUGGACUGCAACUGACACUGAUGCUCGAAAGUGUGGGUAUCAAACAGGAUUAGAUACCCUGGUAGUCCACACAGUAAACGAUGAAUACUCGCUGUUUGCGAUAUACAGUAAGCGGCCAAGCGAAAGCAUUAAGUAUUCCACCUGGGGAGUACGCCGGCAACGGUGAAACUCAAAGGAAUUGACGGGGGCCCGCACAAGCGGAGGAACAUGUGGUUUAAUUCGAUGAUACGCGAGGAACCUUACCCGGGCUUAAAUUGC
rnacentral:rRNA from 1 species